UAUAAGAGGUCCUGCCUGCCCAGUGACCUAGUUCAACGGCCGCGGUAUCCUAACCGUGCGAAGGUAGCGUAAUCACUUGUUCUUUAAAUAAGGACUAGUAUGAAUGGCACCACGAGGGUUAUACUGUCUCCUCUUUCUAAUCAGUGAAACUAAUCUUCCCGUGAAGAAGCGGGAAUUAAUAUAUAAGACGAGAAGACCCUAUGGAGCUUUAAAUAUAUAACAAAUGCUUAUUUUUUACUCUCAUCCAGAUGACUGACUAUUAUUUUAGCAUUUUGACCUAUAAAUUUUAGGUUGGGGUGACCAUGGAGCAAAAAUUAACCUCCAUAUUGGAAAAACCUUAUUUUUAAGCAAAAAGUUACCACUUUAAGCAUCAACACACUGACAUUAAUUGACCCAAUAGUUUGAUCAAUGAACCAAGUUACCCUAGGGAUAACAGCGCAAUCUACUUCAAGAGCUCUUAUCGACAAGUAGGCUUACGACCUCGAUGUUGGAUCAGGGUAUCCUAGUGGUGUAGCCGCUACUAAAGGUUCGUUUGUUCAACGAUUAAAACCCU
rnacentral:rRNA from 1 species